GCCCGCUUAGCUCAGUGGUAGAGCGCGCCACUCGUACGUCAAGUGCAAUGGUGAGGUCGGUUGUUCAAUCCAGCCAGUGGGCA